AAAACAAAAUUUAUUUUUUUUAAUUAAGAUAGUACAUUAAAAAAGUACAUUAUAAUUAAUAUAUACUCAGUGCAACAUUUCACUAUAUGUAUAUAUGUAUAUAUGAUGAUUGUAGUAUCUCAUUACAAAACAGAAAAAAAAGGAGAGAAAAAAAUGACUCUACAAUUGCCCUUGCCACAUGUGUGCAUCAUCGUCCUACUUUUAUAUGAUGAUACGCGUAAUAGUUGCACGCACGAAUAGUUGCGCAAUUUCUUGUCGGCUUCAUCAACUGUCAUUCAAUUAAAUUAUAAACCUUGGAAUCUUUUUCUCUCUCUCUCUCUCUCACGAUUGCACCUAUAACUUAAUCCAAUAUAUCCGAACAAUAUACUUUUAUUAAUCAGAUUUAAUAACAGAGAUCUCAAAUAAAGUUUUCUGAAAAAAGCGCCAUUUAUUAACGUUGGUAAUGUAGACGACCUUAUUUACAGGAUGAUAAAUUGAAACCAUCGAGAGAAAAACGAGGCAUGACUCAUAUGGCAAAAGCGAAUGGAACAUUCCAUCGGUGGGUGACGUCGUGAUGUAUAUAUUGCGAUAUUUACAGAUACUACAAUGGAAUAAAUGGAAAUUUUUAAAUGCAGGACUAGGCAUAAAAAAGAGAUGGAAAGAAAGAGAGAGAGGGGAGGAGAGAGAGAGAGAAAGAGAGAGGGAGAGAGAGAAAGGAAAGAAGAAUAAAAAAGAAAAAAGGGAACAGAAAAAAUUUUUUUUAAGAAACUAAAAGGGCGAAAAUAAGGAAUACAGAUGAAAA